rnacentral:rRNA from 1 species
CCGACGGUGAGGGACGAAAGCUGGGGGCACGAACCGGAUUAGAUACCCGGGUAGUCCCAGCCGUAAACGAUGCUCGCUAGGUGUCUGGGAUGGUGCGACCGUUACAGGUGCCGCAGGGAAGCCGUGAAGCGAGCCACCUGGGAAGUACGGCCGCAAGGCUGAAACUUAAAGGAAUUGGCGGGGGAGCACUACAACGGGUGGAGCCUGCGGUUUAAUUGGACUCAACGCCGGAAAACUCACCUGGGGC